CGGGAAUUUUGCACAAUGGGCGCAAGCCUGAUGCAGCAAUGCCGCGUGAGUGAAGAAGGCCCUUGGGUUGUAAAGCUCUUUCGGCUGGGAAGAAGGGUUUCUAUUCGAACAGGGUAGGAAUUUGACGGUACCAGAAGAAGAAGCACCUGCUAACUUCGUGCCAGCAGCAGCGGUAAUACGAAGGGUGCAAGCGUUGUUCGGAAUUAUUGGGCGUAAAGGGCGCGUAGGCGGAAACGUAUGUCGAUUGUGAAAUCCCCGGGCUUAACCUGGGAAUUGCAGUCGAAACUGUGUUUCUUGAAUGCCUGAGAGGAUGGCGGAAUUCCCGGUGUAGUAGUGAAAUACGUAGAUAUCGGGAAGAACACCUGAGGCGAAGGCGGCUAUCUGGCAGUGCAUUGACGCUGAGGCGCGAAAGCGUGGGGAGCAAAC
rnacentral:rRNA from 1 species